rnacentral:rRNA from 1 species
GACGAACGCUGGCGGCGUGCUUAACACAUGCAAGUCGAACGGAAAGGCCCUGCUUUUGUGGGGUGCUCGAGUGGCGAACGGGUGAGUAACACGUGAGUAACCUGCCCUUGACUUUGGGAUAACUUCAGGAAACUGGGGCUAAUACCGGAUAGGAGCUCCUGCUGCAUGGUGGGGGUUGGAAAGUUUCGGCGGUUGGGGAUGGACUCGCGGCUUAUCAGCUUGUUGGUGGGGUAGUGGCUUACCAAGGCUUUGACGGGUAGCCGGCCUGAGAGGGCGACCGGCCACAUUGGAACUGAGAUACGGCCCAGACUCCUACGGGAGGCAGCAGUGGGGAAUAUUGCACAAUGGGCGGAAGCCUGAUGCAGCAACGCCGCGUGCGGGAUGACGGCCUUCGGGUUGUAAACCGCUUUCGCCUGUGACGAAGCGUGAGUGACGGUAAUGGGUAAAGAAGCACCGGCUAACUACGUG